rnacentral:rRNA from 1 species
UACGUAGGGGGCAAGCGUUGUCCGGAAUCAUUGGGCGUAAAGAGCGCGUAGGCGGCCCAGUCAGUCCGCUGUGAAAGUCCGGGGCUCAACCUCGGAUCGGCCGUGGCGACUCGUGGGCUGGAGCACUGUAGAGGCGGGUGGAAUUCCGGGUGUAGCGGUGGAAUGCGUAGAGAUCCGGAAGAACACCAGUGGCGAAGGCGGCCCGCUGGGCAGUGGCUGACGCUGAGGCGCGACAGCGUGGGGAGCAAACAGG